rnacentral:rRNA from 1 species
GCGGGUCUGAGAGGAUGAUCCGCCACACUGGGACUGAGACACGGCCCAGACUCCUACGGGAGGCAGCAGUGGGGAAUAUUGGACAAUGGGGGGAACCCUGAUCCAGCCAUGCCGCGUGUGUGAAGAAGGCCUUAUGGUUGUAAAGCACUUUAAGCGAGGAGGAGGCUACUCUAGUUAAUACCUAGAGAUAGUGGACGUUACUCGCAGAAUAAGCACCGGCUAACUCUGUGCCAGCAGCCGCGGUAAUACAGAGGGUGCGAGCGUUAAUCGGAUUUACUGGGCGUAAAGCGUGCGUAGGCGGCUUAUUAAGUCGGAUGUGAAAUCCCCGAGCUUAACUUGGGAAUUGCAUUCGAUACUGGUGAGCUAGAGUAUGGGAGAGGAUGGUAGAAUUCCAGGUGUAGCGGUGAAAUGCGUAGAGAUCUGGAGGAAUACCGAUGGCGAAGGCAGCCAUCUGGCCUAAUACUGACGCUGAGGUACGAAAGCAUGGGGAGCAAACAGGAUUAGAUACCCUGGUAGUCCAUGCCGUAA